rnacentral:rRNA from 1 species
AGACCCGAAACCCGGUGAUCUAGCCAUGGGCAGGUUGAAGGUUGGGUAACACUAACUGGAGGACCGAACCGACUAAUGUUGAAAAAUUAGCGGAUGACCUGUGGCUGGGGGUGAAAGGCCAAUCAAACCGGGAGAUAGCUGGUUCUCCCCGAAAGCUAUUUAGGUAGCGCCUCGUGAAUUCAUCUCCGGGGGUAGAGCACUGUUUCGGCUAGGGGGCCAUCCCGGCUUACCAACCCGAUGCAAACUGCGAAUACCGGAGAAUGUUAUCACGGGAGACACACGGCGGGUGCUAACGUCCGUCGUGAAGAGGGAAACAACCCAGACCGCCAGCUAAGGUCCCAAAGUCAUGGUUAAGUGGGAAACGAUGUGGGAAGGCCCAGACAGCCAGGAUGUUGGCUUAGAAGCAGCCAUCAUUUAAAGAAAGCGUAAUAGCUCACUGGUCGAGUCGGCCUGCGCGGAAGAUGUAACGGGGCUAAACCAUGCACCGAAGCUGCGGCAGCGAACGUAUCACUUAAAGCGAUUCAGCGGAUGACGAUUGACGGAGCGAAGCGACGUCAAAGCGUAUACAAAGUCGAGUCGGUUUAAGGAUACGUUCGUUGGGUAGGGGAGCGUUCUGUAAGCCUGUGAAGGUGGCCUGUGAGGGUUGCUGGAGGUAUCAGAAGUGCGAAUGCUGACAUAAGUAACGAUAAAGCGGGUGAAAAGCCCGCUCGCCGGAAGACCAAGGGUUCCUGUCCAACGUUAAUCGGGGCAGGGUGAGUCGACCCCUAAGGCGAGGCCGAAAGGCGUAGUCGAUGGGAAACGGGUUAAUAUUCCCGUACUUGGUGUUACUGCGAAGGGGGGACGGAGAAGGCUAUGUUGGCCGGGCGACGGUUGUCCCGGUUUAAGCGUGUAGGUGUGUGUUCCAGGUAAAUCCGGUUCACUUUAACAC